UACGUAGGGGGCAAGGGUUGUCCAGAAUCAUUGGGGGUAAAGAGCGUGCAGGCGGCCCAGUAAGUCGGGGGUGAAAACUCCAGGCUCAACCUGGAGACGCCACCUGAUACUGUCGGGCUAGAGUCCGGAAGAGGCGAGUGGAAUUCCCGGUGUAGCGGUGAAAUGCGCAGAUAUCGGGAGGAACACCAAUGGCGAAGGCAGCUCGCUGGGACGGUACUGACGCUGAGAAGCGAAAGCGUGGGGAGCGAACAGG
rnacentral:rRNA from 1 species